rnacentral:rRNA from 1 species
CGCAAGCCUGACGGAGCAAGACCGCGUGCGGGAUGACGGCCUAAUGGUUGUAAACCGCUUUUCUCUGGGAAGAUGAUGACGGUACCAGAGGAAUCAGCCUCGGCUAACUCCGUGCCAGCAGCCGCGGUAAGACGGAGGAGGCAAGCGUUAUCCGGAAUUAUUGGGCGUAAAGCGUCCGUAGGUGGUUAUUCAAGUCUGCUGUCAAAGCGUGGGGCUUAACUCCAUAGAGGCAGUGGAAACUGGAUGACUUGAGUGCGGUAGGGGUCGAGGGAAUUCCCAGUGUAGCGGUGAAAUGCGUAGAUAUUGGGAAGAACACCAGUGGCGAAAGCGCUCGACUGGGCCUGCACUGACACUGAGGGACGAAAGCUAGGGGAGCG